GAUAUAGAUAGUCAGGCCUGUCGCAAAGGCCUGUACUUUGAGAAUUUAGGUGUAUUCUUAUCACUUAACUAGUUAUAGAGUGUGAUACCGCAUGG